GUGAGCUGCUAACUGGGGGUGAGGAGAGAGCAGAGCAGAUGCUGGUAUUUUGCUGAUCAUUGGUCAUACAGGUAUUGGCUGCAACUCCAAGAGAUGCUCUUGAACAUGGCCUGCUCUUUGACCUCUCUCACUAUUAACAGUGAAAUGAGGUUUACCCUGUGGUGAUUCAGGUUGGCUUAGAUUUUUGUUUUUUAAACAAAUCAAACUAUCAUAUGUUACUUGUGCGUUUGUGCUCACGUUUUGUUUGGUUGCAGUUUUCUUUGUUGGUUUUAUUUUGUUUUCUUUAAUAAGAAAUUACUCAGAAGCAUGACUAGACUUGCCUGCAAGUGGUUACAUUUAGCUGUAAUCUGCCUGGUGAGUUGUAGGAGGAAUAUUGCACUAGUUUGAACUGGAUUUAGUAGCAAGGGUAUUUUAAUUUGGGGCAGCAGAGAGAAAAUUGUAUAACACUGUUGUGCUGUCCUGAGUAGGAGAAGCAGCCAGUGAAUUGCAUGAUUUUUCCGUCUUUGUAAUCAGUUUGUUAUGCAGAGAGCAAUGCCGUGGGAUUCAGCAUUUUAUCUGCUGGGUUUCCCCUGGCAGCAUCUGAAGAAGUUCAUUAUAAGUGUUUAUCACAUGAUCCACUUAAUCAAACCACUGAAACUCGGAGAAUAAGUCAUUCUAACAAGACCCUUCAGAGCUGCCUUAUAAGCUACUUACUGAUAUGCUCUUCCUUGGUGAGGGUACAAUGAGUUUCCUUGUGUCCUGGUCUAUGAUACAGGAAGUUCAUUAUCCCCAGUCCAAAUUCAGACGUAAAGAAAAGGAAGCAGGGCUUACAAAGAAGCGACAGAUAAUUUGCAAAGGAUUUUAGUUAGCCCCUCAAAUCCCAGAUAGAGUCAGACUGUAAGCUCUUCGUAAGAACAGCCUGCUGGUUUUCAGCAUUAGGCACAGAGCAGCUAUCUGCGUAGCUGCCUGUAGUGUUGUAAAAUACAGACAACGCAGGAGAAAUUAUUUGCUUCUUUUGAUUAGAGGUUAACUAAUGGAAGCAUGUGAGAAAAAAGAGAAAUCAGAACUGAAAGUGUGCUUUUAGCUGGGCGGUAGCACAUACACUGCAUAAUAGUAGCAGAGCUGGUAUCUGGGCUAAUGCAAAAUGAAAAGCCUGCUAAAUCCCGGCGUGUGCAAGGCUGUGAGAUACUGAGGCUUGUCUGACACGCCAGGAGCUCUCAGACAUGCUGUUUGCAACCUGUGUUUGUACACUGUAUACCUCUGGUAGGAUAAAAUGUGUUUCUCUGUGAUGUACCUAGGAACUGUUCUGGUCGUGGGGAGCAGGUAGGUCGAGGGCUGCUCUGCCUCCUUGAAGGCAUUCAUUUUACUGAGCUCUGUGACAAGCAGUGCGACACCAGAUUUCCUGGCACUCACUGGGUUUUUUCACUGAUGCUAUUUCACAGACAGUAUCUCCUAAAGGCUUGCCUUCUUGCUCUCUGUUUAAGACCAGUUUGGGUACCGCCCCAGAUGUAGGCUUGGACCAGCCUUAACGUAGAAAUGCCCUGGAUAAUUUCCCCAAGCAUCACUCUGUCUCCGUACGAUAGUGCUGCUUGGCUGCCCCUCUUCACUCACCUCCCAGGCUGCUGUGAAUGCAGCACAGGGUCACACCAACCCAACGUUGGUUUGUGUAGGGACACACAGCCUGAGCCUCGUGCGGGUUUCCAGAUGAACAUUUUUUUUUACUGGAAACUGCCACUGGAACAAAGAGCAUCAGGCAGUUCAGGACAAGCUACUCUGUGAGACAUUAAAGACAGGGAAGUGUGCAGAACUGAGAAACACUGGCAACAGAAACAAAAAGCCCUCAAGCUGGUUUGAUGGGGAUGAUGCUUUUUCCCCAGCGUAGCUCCAGUGAAGCGGGUCAUAAAAUUCAUGCCGUUGUCUAGGCACUGCCUUCAGGAAACGGUGAAACCUGUCUCUCCAAUGCCAAAGUCCAGCCAGCCCAGAGCUUUAAAAUUCAACCUGUUAAUUACUCCUGGGAGUAAUUAGAUCCAGCCUGGAGUGAGCAAGGAGUCUGGACUGCAUCAAUCACCAGAUGUGAGGGCUUGAGUUAUGCAGUUUUCAUUCGUUGUGUUACAGGAAGAGUUACAUGAUGAUGCUUUGUCUUUGUUUUCCAUGUACUUUGUACCUGGCUGUCUUGUCUUGACGCAGCUGUCAGUCUCUUGACUGCUGAUAUACCAGUAUGCCAAACUGGCACCAGUAUGUCUGUGUCCCCAGGAGGGACUGUGCCGCUUCAGUAGGUUGGUUUCCAACUAAUAAGUUAAAACAGGACACAAUGUGAAGAGGAUGCCUGGAGGAACAUAGUGGUUUGCUGUCUUUAUCCCCUCCAUUUAAAAAAUAGUAAAUGCUACAUUAUUUUACCUCUUUUAAAAUAAAGCAUGUAGCCAAAAAAGACGAAUCUAUGCUAGCUGGUUAGUUUUACUACUUCCUUCAAUUGGUUCCAGUAUAGUUCCCUUCCUCUUUCUCCUUCUUUGUCAUACUCCCUGUCUGUCUUCUUGGUUUCUAUUGUGGCUAUUUAAAGGCCCCCCUUUCAUCUCUCUUUUGGGACAGUCUUACUGCUGGCUUUCUGCUGCCUCAGCUUCUACACAGCCAGUGCUUCAAGAAAAAAGUGUCUUUCUCAUAAAGCUGGGAGGAGAGUAGACCCAUAAAAAUAAAUAUUGUUUGUACGUACGUAGUGCUUUAAUCAGUCAGUUUCCAACAACUUCAUCUAAGAGGCCAGUUUACUAUUGUUUCAGCUUCUUAGGUAAGGAGACAGGAGCAGAGCCAGUUGAUAACUUUCUGCUGUCUGUAAAUUGGAGAAUCAAACUUCUGUUUUCCAAAUGAUUUUUCAGUGCCUGACCCGCUGCCCUGUACACGGGGAAAGGCAGUACUGAGCAUCUGGAGCACCGAAGCCAUGCUGCCAGACACUAACCUGGCUGGGCUUAGUCAGUACCAAGCCGGGCUCAAUUCUCUCUCCCACCCUAGGGAUGAAAGACUCUUUAAUGCACUCGCCGCUCCUGGGCUGUUCAUCUCAAUCCCCAGUUGUGUUAUCUGUUUAGAAGUCUUUCUCACUAAAUUGCUUCCUUUGAAGACUGCAGGCUUUUUAACUGCGGACUCCAGCACCUGCUGCUUGCUGGAAAUCCCGAGCAAGGGAGCGUAGCGAUGCCAAACUUGCCAGUCACAAAGCAUCACAUUUUGCAGGUUUUCGCUGGAGGUAGCUGAUGAAAAACAGAAGGGACAUGUUGUAAAGGACUGUCAGCCCAAGUAAAGGAAGGUGGCUUUGAAGAAAGCUUCCAAGAUGGUAUUUCCAGAAUGCACUCCUUUAGGAAAAAAGUGGAAAAUCCAAAGAAUUAAAUGAGCCAGAAUGAGCUCACUGCAGGUGGUGCUGGGCGUGACUUUUUGAAAUCAAUUUUAAUUAUUAACUGGUUUAGUAAUUGGUUUUUGUCCAGUGUCUGCCAUUACAGUACCUUUUCCUGCAGCCCCAGAAAACCCACAGUUUUCUGGUUCUCUGAGGCUUUCCCACAGCAUCCAUUUCCCUUCCCUUAGAAGACUGGUAUGACACGAUGGAGAGGACUUCAUCUGCCCAACCUGCAAACAAGCUGCUGGGACACCUGCUCCCUGGCAGGAUUUGGGCUACCCCUUACCCUCUUCCACAACAGCCAGUCCUGCAGGGAUUUACACCCACUGGGUGCAUCCAUGUUUUGCCUGAAAUUCUCUGGAUAUUGUUAGCUUCAUGGGCCUGGGGGCUGUAGAAGUUGCUGCAAAGCUCCCCUGAUCCGAGGGUUAAGUGGGCAGGCAGGUGCUUGCCCUCUCCUCCUCUGGAAAAUGGAGAGGUCCCUGAUAGGUUUCAAUGAAGAACAGGUGGUUAAAAAAAAAAACUUCUCUCUUUGCUCUCGUUGGCAUUUCUUCCAUUGUGAAAAGAUCUGCACAAGGGCCUGCAGUGCCCAGAGCGAUGAGGUAGGAUACGUGUGUUUGUAUUUGUCUGGUCCCAUCUCCGCCAGCGAGCCCUUGAAAUGUAGCCUUGCUGGCAGAGCUGGUCAGGCUGGGAAAUUUAGUUUUAGAUGGGUUUUUUUGCUUGUUUACAAGUGGUCUUGGCUACAGAGAGGGACACACAGCUGGUGGGCUGUGCACGGCUCCGUGACUGGGCUGAGGCAGGGCUCUGAGGCUGGAGUGGUGCUGAGGUUUUCCAGCUUUCUCCUGGCUUCACUUGGAGCCAGCGUUUGGAGAGGCUGUUCCUCUGCUGCCUCCUCCUGCGGGCUGGCGUCUCGGGGUCUGCUCUGGCUCACCCAGGGUCUGUGGCUCAGAGCAGACACGCGAUGGACACCUCUGCUCGCUCCAGACGUGCUGCUUCUGCAGACCAGAGGACACCUCUCACUGGUCACAAUAACUGAUUGAAUACAAAUAUCGCACAAAUUUCUUCCUCUGCUAAUUAUAAUAGCAUUAGACAAGGUGGGAGAGGUGCAUGUCUGAAGAAGGCCCAGCAUCUCAGAGAUGGCUUUGCAAGUGGCUUUUGUGAGACGUUCGUGUGCCAGUGGUGCCUGUGCUGGCUGCAGGAACCCAGGUGAGCAGCCAUUGGCACAGCUCAGGCAGAAAUGGAGACUUCUAACAGUACUGGUUAAGCAUUGGAACAUGAUAAGGACUGGAACAUAGUAACAUUGAUAAGCACUGGAAUGGGCUGCCCAGGGAAGUGGUUGAGGCACUGUCCCUGGAGGUGUUCAAAGGACGGGUUGACAUGGUGCUGGGGACAUGGUUUAGUGAUGGGUUUUUUUGUCAGAGUUGGGUUGAUGGUUGGACUAGAUGAUCUUGAAGGUCCCUUCCACCCUAGAUGAUUCUAUGAUUCUGUGAUGUGAUGUGCUGUGUCAGCCUCAAACUUCAGAAGACCUGUGUCAGGGACCAGGGAGAAGAGGCAGCACCAGCCCAUGGGUGCAGCAAACCUGGUAUUAUGGGAGUGCUUUCCUGCAGUGCCAAAGGGUGGCAGAGGGGGAGGCUGCUGAAGGCUGUGACCUUCCAGGCAGGAUCUGUUUCCCAAACACGCGUUAAACAGUGGCAGACUCGCAGGUGUGGGCAUGGGGGAACCUGUUAAAUUAAAGCCCGAGGGUAACAGGAGAGCUGUUUGCUUUGGAAGAUAAGGUGCACCUGUUCUGUGGGCUGAGGGUAAGGAGACUCUCUGAGAGCUGUUUUCCUUUGUUACCUGGGUAGGCAGACCUUUUGCACUGUGAGGCCAUGUAGCUCCUCCAUCUCCUCCUCCCUUCCCUUUAAGACCAGGUAUCCCCUCAGCUUUACCAGCACCUCCAAUCUGACAACCCAGAAGUGUGAGAAAUGGUGGCAAUUGCUCCUUUCCCUCCCUCAUAGUGGAGCUCACAGUGGAGCUCCCCUGACCACACUGCCCAAGUUUGCUGCCUGGACUGAUGCUGUUAUUAAGAAGCCCUGGUGGCCGGUACCUGCAGCCUGGUUGUCGGCUGGAGACAAGGGAAGGGCAUGCUCCCAGCAAGGCGCCCUUCGGUGGGGCUCCUCUAAUGAGCCAGGGUCGUUAUCUGACUUGCUGUUGGUCCCAGAGAAGCUGCAGGGAUGUCUGCUGCUUUAUUUUGUUAAAUGGUACCAAAUGAUGGCAGUUAAUAGCCUACCAGGAGAAAAUGAGCUCUUAGGGCAGCAUUUCAUGUCUGGCAUGCGAGGCUUUAUUGAAUUAACUUUGUACCAGACCCGCCGUGCACUUCCCUCGCUGGAGAGCCCGACCCACAUUAACUGUGGGAUAAAAACGUUACCACCCUAUUUUUGUCACACAGGUGUCUUGCAUUUAAAAAAUCUUUACGUGCUUUGAUGUCAGCUGAGUUUUGGCAAGCGGGCAGGGCGGGCUGUUUGUCAGUGCUCUCUGUCUUAUCGCUGCACCCAUCCCAGUGUUGAGCAUGUAACUCUCUUGCUUUGCUGCUUAUUUCCCAGGUUAGGGACAGUGUGUUUCCACUCUCUGCAGCCCCUGCAAACGCAGAGGUGCUGUGAGAGAAACCCCCGGUGCUACUGACGCCGUUCAGGUGAUGCCUUUUGCCUCUGGGGUACCUGCAGCUUGGCAGCUCCCACUGGGCAGCCCUGCCAGGCUGUGGGAGGGAGACUUGCAUACUUUCAUUAUGUACACCUAAAGUUAAUAACUGACUCAAGAGUUCAUCUACAAAUAUAUUUUUAGGGCUGCUCUUGGCAAAUUUUUCCCUUCUCGGCCACAAAGCUCUCGUUUUCUGUAAUUUCCUCCCUAUGUUUUCCUGUAACUCUAAUCUAUUUUAACAUUAAUGGGUUAGUUUUGAAACAGCCUGUGAGUUUCCAGCCUCUUCUCCCUUACCUGCUGAUUAUUUCUUUUCUCACCGUCCUCUCUCCCUACUUUUGUUGUUUGCAAAAAACGGCUUUUCUGCUCCCUCUCCCUCUUCCCAGCUCCCACCAUCUGUCUCUCUACAAAUACAAAGCUUUAGGGGAAAUGAUUCACUAGGCUGCGAGCUCAUUACUCACCCUCUCCCCAUCAUGGUUUCUGUCCUUGUAGGAUGCUCUAACUAAUGUAAAGAUCAAUGAAUCCUGGGAAUUGUUAUUCAAUUAAAAAAAAAAAAAAAUAAUGCCCCAGCAGUUAAAUAGCUUGGUCUCUUUGUACUUCCUACACACCAAUGCUUAGUUUUUCUUCCUCACUCUGCCGGCAUUAUUUUUCAGAAAAGGAUCACUGAAACAGAAGAAUAGAAACGAUCGCUGGACCAUUUAAUGCAACCUUGUGUAGCACAUGAUGCAGGAGUUACUUAAUGAAAUUCCCUGGCCCAAACCAAGCAAAUCUGUGGUAAAUCUAGAGCAUAUUUUAGGAUGACAGCCAAAAUGAUGAAAGGAAUUUACUACCCAGCCUUGCUAAUCGUUUUGAAUGCCUAACUGCGCUCCCUAAUAUGCUGCUUCGCAAGCAGCAAAACUGACACAGCCUCAUUCCUUCCCGCUUCCUCUCCUCCAGCCUCACCCAGGCAGCCCUGGCCGGGGCAGGGUGACCAGCUGUGACCCCCGGGAGGGCUGGCUGACCCACCGCUGCCAAGAGACCUCCCCAGGCCUGAACCCGCUGCCUCUCCCUCCACAGCGUGCCGGUUUGGGGCCAGCUCUUUGCUCAGUUCUCUUACAGGGCUGCAAUUCCUUAUGCAGAAGCCUGCUAAAGGAAAAGCUGAGUGUAGCUGCAGUGUGGUUCUUCAGUCAGUUCUGAUGAGCACCACAAAGUACGUCUUGUACCAACGCACCACACUGGCACCGCCUUCCUGGAAAGCUAAUUAACUUAUUUAAAAAUCUAGAGAAAAGAGUUCUGCCCCAUCAGCUUCAGAAAGAGAUGUUUAACAUGGUAGAGAACAAGCCGAGCCUGAGUUACCCAAGACAACUAAUUCCCUUAGCAGAAAGAGUGUCUUCUGUCAUCA